ACGGAUCUCUUGGUUCUGGCAUCGAUGAAGAACGCAGCGAAAUGCGAUAAGUAAUGUGAAUUGCAGAAUUCAGUGAAUCAUCGAAUCUUUGAACGCACAUUGCGCCCGCCAGUAUUCUGGCGGGCAUGCCUGUCCGAGCGUCAUUU
rnacentral:rRNA from 1 species